GUCAUAUGCUUGUCUCAAAGAUUAAGCCAUGCAUGUCUCAGUACAAGCCAAAUUAAGGUGAAACCGCGAAAGGCUCAUUAAAUCAGUUAUGGUUCCUUAGAUCGUACACACAAUUACUUGGAUAACUGUGGUAAUUCUAGAGCUAAUACAUGCUAACAGAGCUCCGACCGGAGACGGAAGGAGUGCUUUUAUUAGAUCAAAACCAAUCGGUGGCGAGUUCGCUCGUUAUCGUACAACUUGGUGACUCUGAAUAACUUUACGCUGAUCGCACGGUCAUCGCACCGGCGACGCAUCUUUCAAAUGUCUGCCUUAUCAACUGUCGAUGGUAGGUUCUGCGCCUACCAUGGUUGUAACGGGUAACGGGGAAUCAGGGUUCGAUUCCGGAGAGGGAGCCUGAGAAACGGCUACCACAUCCAAGGAAGGCAGCAGGCGCGCAAAUUACCCACUCCCGGCACGGGGAGGUAGUGACGAAAAAUAACGAUACGGGACUCAUCCGAGGCCCCGUAAUCGGAAUGAGUACACUCUAAACCCUUUAACGAGGAUCAAUUGGAGGGCAAGUCUGGUGCCAGCAGCCGCGG
rnacentral:rRNA from 1 species